CAGUCGAACGAUGAACCACUUCGGUGGGGAUUAGUGGCGAACGGGUGAGUAACACGUGGGCAAUCUGCCCUUCACUCUGGGACAAGCCCUGGAAACGGGGUCUAAUACCGGAUGAUACUUCUGCUCGCAUGGGUGGGGGUUGAAAGCUCCGGCGGUGAAGGAUGAGCCCGCGGCCUAUCAGCUUGUUGGUGAGGUAGUGGCUCACCAAGGCGACGACGGGUAGCCGGCCUGAGAGGGCGACCGGCCACACUGGGACUGAGACACGGCCCAGACUCCUACGGGAGGCAGCAGUGGGGAAUAUUGCACAAUGGGCGAAAGCCUGAUGCAGCGACGCCGCGUGAGGGAUGACGGCCUUCGGGUUGUAAACCUCUUUCAGCAGGGAAGAAGCGAAAGUGACGGUACCUGCAGAAGAAGCGCCGGCUAACUACGUGCCAGCAGCCGCGGUAAUACGUAGGGCGCAAGCGUUGUCCGGAAUUAUUGGGCGUAAAGAGCUCGUAGGCGGUCUGUCGCGUCGGAUGUGAAAGCCCGGGGCUUAACCCCGGGUCUGCAUUCGAUACGGGCAGACUAGAGUGUGGUAGGGGAGAUCGGAAUUCCUGGUGUAGC
rnacentral:rRNA from 1 species